rnacentral:rRNA from 1 species
UCCUACGGGACGCAGCAGUAAGGAAUAUUGGUCAAUGGGAGAGAUCCUGAACCAGCCAAGCCGCGUGAGGGAAGACGGCCCUAUGGGUUGUAAACCUCUUUUGUCGGAGAACAAGACCCGGGACGUGUCCCGGACUGCGUGUAUCCGAAGAAAAAGCAUCGGCUAACUCCGUGCCAGCAGCCGCGGUAAUACGGAGGAUGCGAGCGUUAUCCGGAUUUAUUGGGUUUAAAGGGUGCGUAGGCGGACAGUCAAGUCAGCGGUAAAAAUGCGGUGCUCAACGCCGUACAGCCGUUGAAACUGGCAGG